ACACUGUUGGUGUAGUGGCAACACUCCUUUGCAUUCCGCGAGGCAUCGUAGGUUCGAUUCCUGCGCAGUGUA